AAAGCAGGCCAGGCAAUCGCGGCCUCGACUGUUUCGAUCGAAGAGGGCGAGGAAAGUCCGGACUCCACAGGGCAGGGUGAUGGCUAACGGCCAUCCGUGGCGACACGCGGAACAGGGCAACAGAAAGCAAACCGCCGAUGGCUCCGGGCGCAAGCCGGGAGAUCAGGUAAGGGUGAAACGGUGCGGUAAGAGCGCACCGCGGACGCUGCGAGGCGAUCCGGCACGGUAACCUCCACCCGGAGCAAUUCCAAAUAGGCAGGCACGCAUCCUCGCGAUACAGGACGGUGCCCCCGUUCGUCUGCGGGUAGGAAGCUCGAGCGCGUCUCAGCAAUGGCGCGCCUAGAGGAAUGAUUGCCACGUGCGGCGUGUUUCGGCGCGACGCGUGCACAGAAUCCGGCUUAUCGGCCUGCUUUGUGG
rnacentral:RNase_P_RNA from 2 species